rnacentral:rRNA from 1 species
CCUACGGGAGGCAGCAGUGGGGGAUAUUGCACACUGGGGGAAACCCUGAUGCAGCGACGCCGCGUGUAGGAUGACGGUCCUCUGGAUUGUAAACUACUGUCCCCAGGGACGAAGAUGACGGUACCUGGGGAGGAAGCUCCGGCUAACUACGUGCCAGCAGCCGCGGCAAUACGUAGGGAGCGAGCGUUGUCCGGAAUUACUGGGUGUUAAGGUAGCGUAGGCGGGGAUGCAAGUUGGGUGUUAAAUCUACCGGCUCAACUGGUAGUCGCACUCAAAACUGCAGCUCUUGAGUGAAGUAGAGGCAGGCGGAAUUCCUAGUGUAGCGGUGAAAUGCGUAGAUAUUAGGAGGAACACCAGUGGCGAAGGCGGCCUGCUGGGCUUUUACUGACGCUGAGGCUCGAAAGUGUGGGGAGCAAACAGGAUUAGAUACCCCUGUAGUC